GUAGAGGAAGGGAGUGGAGGGUGCAGAGUGUCAGGAAGAGGAAGAGCGAGAGUGUUGCAAGAGAAGUACUGGUCUGUGCUGCGUGUGGGAAGUGACUUUAGUGGCGGCGUGAAGGCGAGGACACGAGUGAGGUGCUGGCAGGCUGACUGAGAACGUCAUUGUACGACAGAGUAGCCAGCUAAACAGCCGAGCCCUCAGCGUGCGCCUCCCGCCGGACAAGGGACCCUACAUCCAACACUACCUCAUUGAGAUCCACAACGAAGGCUCCUCCUACUCACUCCAAGCUUCUGAAAACCGCUUCGACACCCUUCCUUCGCUCAUCACCUAUUAUUCUCAGUGCUGCGAAGAGUUGCUGGCUCAGCUCAAGCUUCCUCGCACCGUCCAGGAGGCCAAGACCCGCCAUGAACUCGGCUCUCUCUCGCUGCUCGGACAAGGUGGUGCAUCACAGCGUCAGACUCACAGAGGAUGUGUAGCCGAGGCAAUGACACGUGGACGGCGCUGAUGGCGGCCAGAACCUCUUGGGCGUCUUGGUCACACACGGCCAGGCUGAGCACCCCCAGGUCCCGCCACUCCUGCAGCAGCUGUGUGCCGGCACCACUUAAGUGACCCAUGAACCUCUCAAGGAAGAUGAGCUUCGCGCGACGGACGCAAACUUUCGGAGCGGCGGCCAUGGUGGAGGGCUUGGGACACAGUUCUUCUCGCCAGCAGCCUGCAAAGAAAUUUCCCAAAAACAGUUGGCCUAAAUAAUAAUGGCAGAAGUAAGACUAAGCUUUGAAGAAAGAACAUGUCAUAAAGUGUUACUGGAGGCACGAAAAUGUCAAAGAAGUGCAAAGACAAUUCACAAGACACUUUGACAGGGAUCCACCAAGGUGACGCGCCAUUGCUCGCAUCACAGCUAAAUUUGCAUCAACAACCACCACCACCACCACCACCAGCAUGGCAGUAGUAGCAGGAGUAGUGAAUGGUCACACGUUUGUGGUGACUUCUUGGACUAUCAGGCUGCCCUUGUAGUGUGCUGGACUAUCGGUGAACAAGGAGACCUGAAAGUUACGUGGUACAACUAUUUCGGUGAUAGAAGUGGCUGAGUUGCCGAUCCAAAGGCCUGGCUUAAGAGUGAUCCCGAGCUACCUGUACCAUCAAGAUCAA